CAGCCGCCGCGGUAAUACGAAGGGUGCAAGCGUUACUCGGAAUUACUGGGCGUAAAGCGUGCGUAGGUGGUUGUUUAAGUCUGCUGUGAAAGCCCUGGGCUCAACCUGGGAAUUGCAGUGGAUACUGGGCAACUAGAGUAAGGUAGAGGAUAGUGGAAUUUCCGGUGUAGCAGUGAAAUGCGUAGAGAUCGGAAGGAACAUCUGUGGCGAAGGCGACUAUCUGGGCCAUUACUGACACUGAGGCACGAAAGCGUGGGGAGCAAACAGGAUUAGAUACCCGUGUAGUCCCUGUCUCUUAUAC
rnacentral:rRNA from 1 species